rnacentral:lncRNA from 1 species
CCUAUCACUUGUGUGAUUUAUUACUGGUCUCUUCAUCAAGUUAUACAAAUCCACCAAGUCUAUCACCUAUCUCUCUGAAAAAUGAAAAUAUAUUUUAUGACUAGUUCCAUCUGAUUUAUUACUGGUCUCUUAAGAGCUGGCUCUUGAUUACUUCUACCUGCAAGUAACUCCAUUUCUUCUGAUUCCGAGUUGGUACCUCCAAUAGACAAACUCCUUCCUCCCACAAAUGCCAUCAUUUUAUCAGCAAACUCAUCCGAGCUAACAUCUUCCCCAAUUUUGGGGAUCAUCCCCACUUAUAAAAUACUGCUACAUCUACCAUAAGCAUUAAAAUUUUGGAAGACGAAGUAUGAGUAUAGCUGAUCAAAGUUCCUCUAUCUCCUACAGAUUUUCCCAGUACCUUCUGAAGCGCUAGUCUCAAGCAUUUGCAAAAAAACAAUAAUGUUGAAUCUGUCAGCAGAAUUUAUGGAAUAAAGUUAUUGUUCCUCUGUAUGAGCUCAUACCAAUUAUCAGCAAUUUCCUUGAUUUUGAAGAAUUUGUCUCCCGCCAAAAAAAGAAGCAGCACUUCUCACCAUGAUGCCUUAUUUACCUUGCCACUAUCACCACUUAAGUUACUCCAUGAUUGUUAUAGAACUAAUAAAAGCAAAGUAUGAAAUAGGCAAGAAUUUAUGUGGAUAAGGACUG